CUCCGCCAGCUCGCGCGCUCGACGGCACGACCCGACCCGGCCGCUGCACGCUCGCCUCGCCUCCACCUCCUGCGGAUCCACGCGCUCGGCUCGGCCGGCACCUCCCUUGCCGUCGGCGUGCUCAACGGCGCGCCGCCGCUGCCGGCGCAGGACGCCUCCCUGCCCUUCGCCCGGCGGCCGGCUCGAGCGCUCUCUCCCGCCGCGUUCCACGCGCCCCUGCCUCUGCUCGGCUGGAUGCCUCCCUCCCCUUCGACCCUGUGCCGCCCGCCCAGCCAAAGCCACCCCCCAUCAUCGAUGCACGGGUCUGGGGUGUCAGUUCAGGAGGAUGGAUCCGCGGAGGUGGUGGCCUGAUGCUCUGCCAUCCCCACCCGCUCGUCCUCUCGUCCCCAUGGUUCCUAUUCCUGUUGUCGGCUCCGUUCAGGAUCCACGGAGGUGCUGACGGAUGCGCCGUUUCCAGCCUCACAGCCUAUCUGCAUAAUCACCGAUCCAGCCGCAAGCGCCAUCAAGGAGGGCACGUGGGAGUAUUGUUAACGUGCAGAAGCUAUGGCUGGGCAGUCUGUGCAGGCACCCACGAAGCCAUGGCUGCCAGUAAAGGAUGCAGAACUAGGUGGCAAUCAAGUAUUCAUGUUGGUCACAGCAGGGACAUGGCAUGAGGAAGAAAAUACACAUGAUCUAUAUUGAGCCAAAACAAUUUCUGUCAUCUAAUGGGAGCCAAAAUAGGGGUAAUUUUUUCCAAAGGUAUUUCUGCUCAUGGGGAUGGCCGCAAUGAAGUAUUUCAAAACCAUAGUUCUGAUGAUUUUUUGGUCAAACAGUUUCAUCGUAUUUUGUAGUACGCUAAUACUCUAAUUUGGUAGAAUAGUAUGCAAAGUAGUAGAGAUUUUGAUGUGAUCUGGGGCAUGAAUUGACAAUUACUAGGUGAUUCCCCGCAUGUUGCCACGGGAGACAUAAAAGAAAGAUUAUUUUGGCUAAAUAAAAAAUUAAUGACAAAAUAGCUCUUGUAAGUAUGAGACAAAAUUUUCUUUUUAUUUCUUUAUACUUUUUUCUUCUUCUCUCUCAUUUUAUUUGUUCCUAUUUAUUUUCUCUACCUUUUCCUUUUCUCUUUUCAUUUUCAUCUUUUUCUUUUUUUCCUUUUAAUCUUUAUCCUUGUAUUCUUGUUAUUAUAUUAUUCUUUGUCCACCUCUUUUCCUCCCCAUCAGAAAACCAUAAAAAAGGAGAUUGAAAACUAAACACCUUGAAGAUGAGCGUAAACACCACCAAAGACCUUUCAUCUCCAUUUUUCUAGAUGCUGCUCUGGUUAGGGAGCGAACGACGGGCAUGGAGGUUGCAACCCUGCAUCACGGCGGCAGCGUUGCCGAAGAUGAAGUCGACAGUACCCUUAGCUACAUGCCGAGUAGGAAAGGGCAUGCCAGAGGUGGAGUGGAGUUAUUUAAACUCGAUUGUUGGGACGAUCUUUGGGUUUCUUUGUAUUGCAGUCACGGCCUUUGGUUUUCUUCAGCUCCUUUCAGGUGUGUUUGUUGUGGUGGAAGAAUUGAUGGCUUACAAUAGUGACUUGUGGUUGUGCAUAGAAAAUUAGUAGAAGGCAUAAAUAGAAGGUCCUAGUGGAUGAUGACGUGGAUAGCUUGCAUGUUGAGAGAAAUAGAGUUAUUGACUUUUAGUGGGGACUAACUUUAUAGGUUUUAUAGAUUAUGCAUAUACCAUAGUUUGUUGUAGAAAUAUUUUUUAUUCAACUUUCAGUUAGUGCAGCUCCUAUAUUACAAACACCGGUGACUAGGUAAUUUAUGUAGACAUCAUGGAAGCAACAAAAGCAUUAAUUUUAAAAGAGAAGUAAUUUGGUCCUCCGAUACCUUGCAAUAAGGGCUCGGCGGGUUGCUCCGAAUUUGUGAUGGAUUUAGUAUCAGCGCUGUGUAAUCUACUGCAACCUGAGGACACGAUGUAAGUACCAAUCUAACUGAGCUUGUUUCUAAAUGUACACAUACUCUGCUUAUAUUAACUUCUAGGCAGUGCAGAAUGUUGUAGCUUGCUUAAAAAUCAUUGUGUACUCUUUCAACUAUUCAAUUGAUCUUUUUUACUAUACUGCUAGACAUUGGGUCAACCUGUAUCCUUGCAUAAAUAUAUUUCAUUUGGAGAACAAGAGUUCCAGCUAAGUAUAAAUUUUUGGUUUUGGCUUCUACUGCAUGGUAGAUGCUAGCUGGACAACGGCAGGCAGUGCAGACAUAUUUUUCGAGACAAGUUAUUGGGCUUUAUGUGCUCAAGACAGGGAGAUAAUUGAACAACUGAUCCUGCAUUCCUCAUCAAUCAGCGAAGAAAUCUGGUUCAGAGUUCAGAGUGCUCUAGAUGGCAGGUCAGCAUAUCCGAACACCUGUGACUGAAACCUCAUUCGCUCAGUGGUGGAUGAAGGAGAAGUGAAAGAGCUGAUUCACAUUCUUCAACGUGUUCAUACAGUCAGUGGUGGAGCUUCAUGUUAAAUUCAAAGGCAUCCAACACUAAAUUUGAGAGUAAAUCACUGAAAAUUUCCUAAAGAGAAGGUGUCAACAAAAUUUGCUCCUGAAGGAUCAAAGCAUACUCCUCACUUCUCACCAAUCAUGGGACUUUAGUGGAAGGGGCAAUAGAGUACUGACCCCUGCUUUUCAGGUCAUUGUGAUUUGUGGCCGUUAACUUCCAUGAUGCAUUUUUUUUCUUUCUUUGCAUUUGUUGGCUAGAAGGAUUUUCCUUGCAGGUGCACAUCCCAUAUGCAAAAUCUUAUAGGAUAUUUCCCUUUCUCAAAUUUGUGUAUUUUAGGAAUAUGAAUUGAAGGAAGAUAUGGCCAGAAAUUGUAUAUUGAUUGAUGAA